AGCGGAGGAAAAGAAAAUAACCAUGAUUCCCUCAGUAACGGCGAGUGAAGCGGGAAAAGCUCAAAUUUGAAAUCUGUCAACAUUUCUUUUGUUGUCCGAGUUGUAAUUUCAAGAAGCUGCUUUGAGUGUAGACGAUCGGUCUAAGUUCCUUGGAACAGGACGUCAGAGAGGGUGAGAACCCCGUCUUUGGUCGAUUGGAUAUGCCAUAUAAAGCGCUUUCGAAGAGUCGAGUUGUUUGGGAAUGCAGCUCUAAAUGGGUGGUAAAUUUCAUCUAAAGCUAAAUAUUGGCGAGAGACCGAUAGCGAACAAGUAGAGUGAUCGAAAGAUGAAAAGAACUUUGAAAAGAGAGUUAAAUAGUACGUGAAAUUGCUGAAAGGGAAGCAUUGGAAAUCAGUCUUACCUGGGUGAGAUCAGUAGUCUCUUCGCGAGACUAUGCACUCUGAACCUGUGGUAGGUCAGCAUCAGUUUUCGGGGGCGGAAAAAGAAUAAGGGAAGGUGGCUUUCCGGGUUCUGCCUGGGGAGUGUUUAUAGCCCUUGUUGUAAUACGUCCACUGGGGACUGAGGACUGCGGCUUCGUGCCAAGGAUGCUGACAUAAUGGUUUUCAAUGGCCCGUCUU
rnacentral:rRNA from 1 species